UGGAAUGUAGUUUAAUGGUAAAACAACUUUUUGUUGAUAUAGGUUCGAUUCCUGUCAUUUCAACCA
rnacentral:tRNA from 1 species